rnacentral:rRNA from 1 species
CCUACGGGAGGCAGCAGUGAGGAAUAUUGGUCAAUGGGCGCGAGCCUGAACCAGCCAAGUCGCGUGAGGGAAGACGGUCCUAUGGAUUGUAAACCUCUUUUGUCGGGGAGCAAAAGACGCCACGCGUGGCGUUCCGAGAGUACCCGAAGAAAAAGCAUCGGCUAACUCCGUGCCAGCAGCCGAGGUAAUACGGAGGAUGCGAGCGUUAUACGGAUUUAUUGGGGUUAAAGGGUGCGCAGGGGGAGGAUCAAGUCAGCGGUAAAAUUGAGGGGCUCAACCUCUUCGAGCCGUUGAAACUGGUUAUCUUGAGUGAGUGAGAGGGAUGCGGAAGGCGUGGUGUAGCGGUGAAAUGCAUAGAUAUCACGCAGAACUCCGGUUGCGAAGGCAGCAUACCGGCGCUCAACUGACGCUCAUGCACGAAAGUGUGGGUAUCGAACAGGAUUAGAUACCCCUGUAGUC